GACGAACGCUGGCGGCGUGCUUAACACAUGCAAGUCGAACGGAAAGGCCCUGCUUUUGUGGGGUGCUCGAGUGGCGAACGGGUGAGUAACACGUGAGUAACCUGCCCUUGACUUUGGGAUAACUUCAGGAAACUGGGGCUAAUACCGGAUAGGAGCUCCUGCUGCAUGGUGGGGGUUGGAAAGUUUCGGCGGUUGGGGAUGGACUCGCGGCUUAUCAGCUUGUUGGUGGGGUAGUGGCUUACCAAGGCUUUGACGGGUAGCCGGCCUGGGAGGGUGACCGGCCACAUGAGGACUGAGAUACGGCGCAGACUCCUACGGGAGGCAGUAGUGGGGAAUAUUGCACAGUGGGCGGAAGCCUGAUGCAGAAACGCCGCGUGCGGGAUGACGGCCUUCGGGUUGUAAACCGCUUUCGCCUGUGACGAAGCGUGAGUGACGGUAAUGGGUAAAGAAGCACCGGCUAACUACGUG
rnacentral:rRNA from 1 species